CUACGGGUCGCUGCAGUGAGGAAUGUUGCACAAUGGGGGGAACCCUGAUGCAGCAACGCCGCGUGGAGGAUGACGCAUUUCGGUGUGUAAACUCCUUUUAUAUGUCAAGAAAAUGACGGUAGCAUAUGAAUAAGCACCGGCUAACUCCGUGCCAGCAGCAGCGGUAAUACGGAGGGUGCAAGCGUUACUCGGAAUCACUGGGCGUAAAGGACGCGUAGGCGGGUUGGAAAGUCAGGUGUGAAAUCCUACAGCUUAACUGUAGAACUGCACUUGAAACUUCUAAUCUAGAGUAUGGGAGGGGGAGAUGGAAUUAGUGGUGUAGGGGUAAACUCCGUAGAUAUCACUAGGAAUACCUAAAGCGAAGGCGAUCUCCUGGGACAUUACUGACGCUAAGGCGUGAAAGCGUGGGGAGCAAACAGGAUUAGAUACCCCUGUAGUC
rnacentral:rRNA from 1 species